UACGUAGGGGGCAAGCGUUGUCCGGAAUCAUUGGGCGUAAAGAGCGUGUAGGCGGCCAGAAAAGUCCGCUGUGAAAACUCGAGGCUCAACUUCGAGCUGUCGGUGGAAACUUUCUGGCUAGAGUCCGGAAGAGGAGAAUGGAAUUCCUGGUGUAGCGGUGAAAUGCGCAGAUAUCAGGAAGAACACCAGUGGCGAAGGCGGUUCUCUGGGACGGUACUGACGCUGAGACGCGAAAGCGUGGGGAGCGAACAGG
rnacentral:rRNA from 1 species